CUUGAACGCUGGCGGCAGGCCUAACAAAUGCAAGUCGAACGAGUGGCGGACGGGUGAGUCAUGUCUGGGAAACUGCCCGAUGGAGGGGGAUAACUACUCGACACGGAAGCUCAUACCGCAUACCCUCGGAGGUGCCCAGAUGGGAUUAGCUCGUAGGUGGGGUAAUGGCUCACCUAGGCGACGAUCCCUAGCUGUUCUGAGAGGAUGACCAGCCACACUGGAACUGAGACACGGUCCAGACUCCUACGGGAGGAAACAGUGGGGAAUAUUGCACAAUGGGCGCAAGCCUGAUGCAGCCAUGCCGCGUGUAUGAAGAAGGCCUUCGGGUUGUAAAGUACUUUCAGCGAGGAGGCGUUACUCGCAGAAGAAGCACCGGCUAACUCCGUGCCAGCAGCCGCGGUAAUAC
rnacentral:rRNA from 1 species